rnacentral:rRNA from 1 species
UACGUAGGGGGCGAGCGUUGUCCGGAAUCAUUGGGCGUAAAGAGCGUGUAGGCGGCUUGGCAAGUCUCGCGUGAAAUCUUGCGGCUCAACCGCAAGCGGUCGUGAGAAACUGCCUGGCUAGAAUCCGGAAGAGGAGAGCGGAAUUCCUGGUGUAGCGGUGGAAUGCGCAGAUAUCAGGAAGAACACCCGUGGCGAAGGCGGCUCUCUGGGACGGUAUUGACGCUGAGACGCGAAAGCGUGGGGAGCGAACAGG